rnacentral:rRNA from 1 species
AUUGAACGUUGGCGGCAGGCCUAACACAUGCAAGUCGAGCGGAUGAAGGGAGCUUGCUCCUGGAUUCAGCGGCGGACGGGUGAGUAAUGCCUAGGAAUCUGCCUGGUAGAGGGGGAUAACGUCCGGAAACGGGCGCUAAUACCGCAUACGUCCUGAGGGAGAAAGUGGGGGAUCUUCGGACCUCACGCUAUCAGAUGAGCCUAGGUCGGAUUAGCUAGUUGGUGGGGUAAAGGCCUACCAAGGCGACGAUCCGUAACUGGUCUGAGAGGAUGAUCAGUCACACUGGAACUGAGACACGGUCCAGACUCCUACGGGAGGCAGCAGUGGGGAAUAUUGGACAAUGGGCGAAAGCCUGAUCCAGCCAUGCCGCGUGUGUGAAGAAGGUCUUCGGAUUGUAAAGCACUUUAAGUUGGGAGGAAGGGCAGUAAGUUAAUACCUUGCUGUUUUGACGUUACCAACAGAAUAAGCACCGGCUAACUUCGUG